rnacentral:rRNA from 1 species
GGGGAAUAUUGCGCAAUGGGGGAAACCCUGACGCAGCAACGCCGCGUGAAGGAUGAAGGUCUUCGGAUUGUAAACUUCUUUGAUGAGGGACGAACAAAUGACGGUACCUCAAAAACAAGCCACGGCUAACUACGUGCCAGCAGCCGCGGUAAUACGUAGGUGGCGAGCGUUGUCCGGAAUUACUGGGUGUAAAGGGCGUGUAGGCGGGAAAGCAAGUCAGAUGUGAAAUACCGGGGCUUAACUCCGGGGCUGCAUCUGAAACUGUUUUUCUUGAGUGUCGGAGAGGAAAGCGGAAUUCCCAGUGUAGCGGUGAAAUGCGUAGAUAUUGGGAGGAACACCAGUGGCGAAGGCGGCUUUCUGGACGACAACUGACGCUGAGGCGCGAAAGCGUGGGGAGCAAAC